rnacentral:lncRNA from 1 species
UGACGACCCCCCCCUUAUUGCCGUGGGGCGGAGAUGGAAGACCGCAAAGGGGGGGCGGCCCUAUAGGGUGCCCCGUGUCCUAUAGGGGGCGCCCGGCCCGACGGGGGCACUGCUGGCCCCAUAGCAACGAUCCCGGCCCCAUAGGAGUGGUCCCGGCCCCACAGAUGCUCCUGACCCCACAGGAGUGGUCCCGGCCCUAUAGGAUCCACCCGGCCCUAUAAGAGCUGUCCCAGCCCCACGGGGUCCUCCCGGCCCCAUAGGAGUCUUCCCAGCCCUAUAGGGUCCUCCCGGCCCUAUAGGAAUGGUCCUGGCCCUAUAGGGGCACUACUGGGCACCUACGGGAGCUCCCGGCCCUAUAGGAGUGGUCCCAGCCCCAUAGAGAUGCUCCCGGCCCCAUAUGGGCACUUAUGGCCCCAUACGGACACUCCUGGUCCUAUAUGAAUGCUUACGGCCCCAUAGGGACGCUCCCAGCCCUAUAUGGGCGCUUACGGCCCCAUAGGACACUUCUGGUCUUAUAGGGAUUUGUCCUUGGCCUUACAGAGAUGCUCCUGGUCCCAUACAGACCCUCCUGGUCCCAUACAGCUGCUCCCGGCCCCAUAUGGAUGAUCCUGGUCCCACAAAGACGUUUCCAGUCCCAUACAGACAGUCCUGGUCCCAUACAGAUGCUCUUGGUCCCAUAUGGAUGCUCCUGGUCCCAUACAGACCCUCCUGGUCCCAUAUGGCUUCUCCUGGUCCCACACACAUGUUCCCAGUCCCAUACAGCUGCUCCCGGUCCCAUAUGGAUGUUCCUGGUCCCAUACAGAUCCUCUUGGUCCCAUACAGAUGCUCUCAAUCCCAUACAGAUGUUCCUGGUCCCAUAUUGCUGCUCCUGGUCCCAUACAGAUGCUCUCAAUCCCAUACAGAUGUUCCUGGUCCCAUACAGAUGUUCCUGGUCCCAUAUAGACAGUCCUGGUCCCAUAUUGCUGCUCCUGGUCCCAUAGAGAUGCUCUCGAUCCCAUAUGGAUGUCCCUGGUCCCAUACGGAUGCUCCCGGUCCCAUAUAAACCCUACAGGACCCCCACGGGUGGGGUGGUGGUGUGUGGGGUCUCCAUGCCCCCCCCUUCACCCACGGGUGCUCAGAG